AUGCUAAGUAAAGCCAUUCACUGCCAUGCAAUUCUUUUACCUCUCCCAAACUGUUUGUCUUUUCCAUUGCUGUUACCAGCUCUUUCAAGACAUGGGCAUUUUUUACCGCAGUUUUCCUUUCUCCCAUCACUGGUGGGGCUUCUGGGCACCUGUGCAAUGGUAUACAGAAAGUGGAAAGGGGGAGAGGCCACUUGGGAGGAAUAUAGGAACGUUGUCAGAGUAUGCAGGGAUGCGAUGAGGAAGGCUAAGACCCAUUUGGAAUUAAGUCUGGCAAGGGAUGUCAAGGACAACAAGAAGGGCUUCUUCAAAGACAUCAGUAGCAAGAGGAAGACUAGGGAAAAUGUGGGCCCUUUGCUGAAUGGGGUGGGCACCAUGGUAACGAAGGAUGCAGAGAAGGCAGAGUUACUGAAUGCCGCCUUUGCUUCAGUCUUUACUGCUCAGGCCAGCUCUCAGGAAUCCCAGACCCUGGAGACAAGAGAGAAAGUCUGGAGAAAGGAAGACUUUCCCUUGCUUGAGGAGGAUGGGGUUAGAGAUCAUUUAAGCAAACUUGACACCCACAAAUCCAUGGGCCCUGCUGGGAUGCACCCACGAGUGCUGAGGGAGCUGGCGGAUGUUAUUGCUAAGCCACUCUGCAUCAUCUUUGAAAGGUCAUGGAGAACAGGAGAGGUGCCUGAAGACUGGAAGAAAACCAAUGUCACUCCAGUCUUCAAAAAGGGCAAGAAGGAGGACCAAGGCAACUACAGGCCAGUCAGCCUCACCUGCAUCCCUGGAAAGGUGAUGGAGCAGCUCAUCCUGGAGGCCAUCUCCAAGCAUGUGGAGGACAAGAAGGUGAUCAGGAGUAGUCAGCAUGGCUUCACCAAGGGGAAAUCAUGCUUAACCAAUCUGAUAGCCUUCUAUGAUGGAAUGACUGGCUGGGUGGAUGAGGAGAAAGCAGUGGAUGUUGUCUACCUUGACUUCAGCAAGGCUUUUGACACUGUCUCCCAUAACAUCCUCAUACGUAAGCUCAGGAAGUGUGGGCUAGAUGAGUGGACUCAAACUGAAACACAGGCAGUUCCAUCUGAACAUGAGGAAAAACUUCUUGACUGUGAGGAUGACAGAACACUGGAAAAGGUUGCCCAGAGUCUCUUCUCUGGAGAUAUUCAAAACCCACCUGGAUGUGAUCCUGUGCAACGUGCUCUAGGUGACCCUGCUUGA
rnacentral:lncRNA from 1 species